rnacentral:rRNA from 1 species
UUCUGGCGAGCGGACGAGAAGCAUGCGUCUCUGAGGGUAGCGGCGGACGGGUGAGAAACACGGGGAUAACCUACCUAAAACACUGGGAGAACUUUGGGAAACGGGAGCUAAUACCGGAUGAUGUUUUGAACCGCAUGGUUCAUAAGUGAGGGACGGUCUAGCGGUCAGUUAUAGAUGGAUCCGCGCUGCAUAAUCUAGUUGGUAAGGUAACGGCUUACCAAGGCAACGAUGCAUAGCCGACCUGAGAGGGUGAUCGGCCACACUGGAACUGAGACACGGUCCAGACUCCUACGGGAGGCAGCAGUAGGGAAUCUUCCGCAAUGGGCGAAAGCCUGACGGAGCAACGCCGCGUGAGUGAUGAAGGUCUUCGGAUCGUAAAACUCUGUUAUUAGGGAAGAACAUAUGUGUAAGUAACUGUGCACAUCUUGACGGUACCUAAUCAGAAAGCCACGGCUAACUACGUGCCAGCAGUCGCGGUAAUACGUAGGUGGCAAGCGUUAUCCGGAAUUAUUGGGCGU